rnacentral:lncRNA from 1 species
UCGCUUCCAACAAUGUGUGAUCGUUCCAUUAGAGUAGAAUAAUGGGGUCGCAGGAGAUACUCCUACCCCUCUAAUCCACAGGAAAUCAUUUCAAUCUUUUAUUUAUAUAGAUACCGAAGAGAGAGAGAGAAGGGAAUCAGAAACACACAGGCUUUUAACUUCCAGACUUGCAGGAGUUAUCUGAUCUAAUAUAUACCAAGCUCCAAGACAAGCAGUUUAGCUCAAUUAGGUUGGAUAUCAGCUUUGGUUUCUUCAAACAUCUCAGCAAGUGUGGA